rnacentral:misc_RNA from 1 species
UUUUUUUCUAGGGUUUGUUUUCAAUCUGUCUCUCCUGAGAACUGGAAGAGAAUGAGUUGUUGAAGGCGUUCACUUCCUAUUUUAUGCAAAAGCUUUGAGAAUUAUAGGAUCAUCUCAUCAUCACCAUUAUCAUCGAUCAUCGUUUUCUCUAAUCAUGGUUAAUCUGAAUCACAUCUUUCAUCUCGCCCGUUCAUUCAUGCCUUGAGUUUAGCUGCC